CGGACGGGUGAGUAACGCGUGGGUAACCUGCCUCAUACAGGGGGAUAACAGUUAGAAAUGACUGCUAAUACCGCAUAAGCGCACGGGACUGCAUGGUCCAGUGUGAAAAACCGAGGUGGUAUGAGAUGGACCCGCGUCUGAUUAGCUGGUUGGCGGGGUAACGGCCCACCAAAGCGACGAUCAGUAGCCGGCCUGAGAGGGUGAACGGCCACAUUGGGACUGAGACACGGCCCAAACUCCUACGGAAGGCAGCAG
rnacentral:rRNA from 1 species